AGAGGUACGCAUGAAGAUAAUAUGUCAUUUUCAGAGAAUAAGGAACUAUAUUUUUCUGCAAACUUGAGUAUACUAUGCACAACGCGGUAAUUCCAGAAAAACUCAAAAUCUUAUUUAAAGUUACAGAUCACAAGAUUUUUUCCAGUUGUUUAUAACUAAAAGCUAACUCAGCUAGCUUUAACCAAGAAGGGGAUUUUCCAAAAACUGCACCAUCAAGGAGUGGAACUCGCCUUAAAGACAUCUGAAAGCUCCAGACUUUCACGGACUCCCUUCCGGCUAGUCGUGGCGCACUAACUCCUUCAGGCUGUGCUCACGCAGCCAACCGCAGUCCUCUUCCUGGGAUCUAAGCUCUGAACCCCGAGCCUCAGCUCCCAGCCCCCGCGCACCCCGGCGGGUGAGCCGACAAGCCUCUCGAGCUGCUAGAAGAAUAAAAAAAGCUGUCUGACAAUGGAAGUGUCUUCUUAGCCAUAGAGUAUUUUUAAAGAGAAAAUGAAUCUCAGUCUGAUGAACAGGUUGGAGAGGAGGUUCAUGAAUAAAAUUGGUUUGACUAAAUAAAUUCUAUGUCAUUGUGGUUGAAACAAAGACCAGUAAUCUAACAUCUGGUUGCAGAUUUAAAAAGAGAACACUGCCUUCUUUCACAAAGCUCUGCCUCAUUAAGAAUAGAAUGCUCAGGCUUCCCGGGUGGCGCAGUGGCUGAGAAUCUGCCUGCCAAUGCAGGGGACACGGGUUCGAGCCCUGGUCUGGGAAGAUCCCACAUGCCGUGGAGCAACUGGGCCCAUGAGCCACAACUACUGAGCCUGCGCAUCUGGAGCCUGUGCUCUGCAACAGGAGAGGCCGCGACAGUGAGAGGCCCGUGCACCGCGAUGAGGAGUGGCCCCUGCUCGCCGCAACCAGAGAAAGCCCUCGCACAGAAACGAAGACCCAACGCAGCCAAAUAAAUAAAUAAAUAAUUUUUUUUAAAAAAAAAAGAAUAGAAUGCUCUGGUGUAUUUAAAAUGGUUUCUUUUUCUCUCCCCCUGCUAGAAGCAUGAGAGGAUUAUUCUUCAUUAUUCACCUUGAUAAACUGGUUAUGCUCUUGGAAGUGAACUCUUUACUGAUUUUUAACUCUGUUCACCAUUUUACUUGUUGUUAGGACAGUGUGGUGACUUCAAGAUUCCUUACUUGUGGAACCAAAAAUGAGAAGUAUUUAGAUGGCUGUUUUUUGGCUAGAGAGGAAUGGUGGUAUAGACCUAUGGAUCUCCUAAGUUGGUAUAUGUAACCCUAGCUGCAGUUAGAUUCAUGUAUUGGGGUCACAGUUUGUCACUCAUCACUCUGUUUCUUCUUUUCUGUUUCCUUAAUUGCAAACUUUGCUUAGGAAUGACUGUUGCCUACCCUCCAAACUCUGAAUCAAUACUGUGUUACUGUAAGAAGCUCAGACUGGCUUUUAUAAUUAAAGUACUAGGGCUUCCCUGGUGGCACAGUGGUUGACAGUCCGCCUGCCAAUGCAGGGGACGCGGGUUUGUGCCCUGGUCCGGGAGGAUCCCACAUGCUGCGGAGCGGCUGGGCCUGUGAGCCAUGGCCGCUGAGCCUGUGCGUCCGAAGCCUGUGCUCCGCAACGGGAGAGGCCACAACAGUGAGAGGCCCAUGUACCGCAAAAAAAAAAAAAAAAAAAAAAA